rnacentral:rRNA from 1 species
GGACGAACGCUGGCGGCGUGCCUAAUACAUGCAAGUCGAACGGUCUUUUCUAUGGAAGCUUGCUUCCACUGAGAAGAUAGUGGCGAACGGGUGAGUAACACGUGGGUAACCUGCCCAUAAGAGGGGGGAUAACAUCCGGAAACGGGUGCUAAUACCGCAUAGUUUUCUUGAUCGCAUGAUCGGGAAAGGAAAGACGGCCUUUGUGCUGUCGCUUAUGGAUGGACCCGCGGCGUAUUAGUUAGUUGGUGAGGUAACGGCUCACCAAGACGAUGAUACGCAGCCGACCUGAGAGGGUGAUCGGCCACAUUGGGACUGAGACACGGCCCAAACUCCUACGGGAGGCAGCAGUAGGGAAUCUUCCGCAAUGGACGAAAGUCUGACGGAGCAACGCCGCGUGAGUGAAAGAAGGUUUUCGGAUCGUAAAACUCUGUUGUCAGAGAAGAACAAGUUGGAGAGUAACUGCUCCAGCCUUGACGGUAUCUGACCAGAAAGCCACGGCUAACUACGUGCCAGCCGCCGC